rnacentral:rRNA from 1 species
AUUGAACGCUGGCGGCAUGCCUAACACAUGCAAGUCGAACGAGUGGCGGACGGGUGAGUAAUGUCUGGGAAACUGCCUGAUGGAGGGUGAUAACUACUGGAAACGUUAGCUAAUACAGCAUCCCAUCAGAUGUGCCCAGAUUGGAUUAGCUAGUUGGUGGGGUAACGGCUCAUCCAGUCGACGAUACCUAGCUGGUCUGAGAGGAUGACCAGCUACACUGGAACUGAGACACGGUCCAGACUCCUACGGGAGGAAGCAGUGGGGAAUAUUGCACAAUGGGCGCAAGCCUGAUGCAGCCAUGCCGCGUGUAUGAAGAAGGCCUUCGGGUUGUAAAGUACUUUCAGCGGGGAGGCGUUACCCGCAGAAGAAGCACCGGCUAACUCCGUGCCAGCAGCCGCGGUAAUUC